GAUAUGGGUUCAAUAUGGCUUUGACUCGUGCAUCAUGGGACAAGUCCGCUAUAUCAUUCCAAGGCUCAUCAUUGGGGUAUUUGUUCAGGUUCUUUGCAGCUACAGCACCCUACCGCUCUACGCCAUUGUCACUCAGAUGGGAAGUUCUUUCAAGAAAGCAAUCUUUGAUGAACAUGUACAAGUAGGCCUAGUUGGUUGGGCUCAGAAGGUGAAGAAAAGAAAAGGACUUAGAGCAGCUGCUGAUGGGUCCAGCCAAGGAGGGAAGGAAGGUGGUUCUACUGUGGGGAUUCAACUGGGAAAUGUUAUGCGCAAGGCUUCUGCUCCUAAUGAAAUUAAGCCUGAUGACCCCAAAUCAAAUGAUCUGCCUUAGUACAUAUGCCUCCAAAUCAACUCAUUAAAGCUAAGGUAGCCCUCUCUUCUCUCUCCAUUUGUAGAGUUGUAUUAUACAGUAACCACUAUGCUCACCCCAGAAUACCAUGCCACCUCUUCCCUAGUGUUCACCCCUUCAAUUUGGAUCAGGGAUGUUCUUGGAUAUUGGUUUGACUUCGACCUCUUGUACCCAAGGACCGUUCCUCUGACGUAGAGUCUGACUCUUUCUCCCUGCCUUCCCUUCACCAUGGCUGCCGCAGUCUAGGGUUCUGAAAAACGACUCCUUAGAUUAGCAGGUUGAAGUAAGGAGGAUGGAGCUGCGGUUCAAAG
rnacentral:misc_RNA from 1 species